GAAAGGYUCAUUAAAUCAGUUAUGGUUCCUUAGAUCGUACACACAAUUACUUGGAUAACUGUGGUAAUUCUAGAGNUAAUACAUGCAAACAGAGCUCCGACCGGAGACGGAAGGAGUGCUUUUAUUAGAUCAAAACCAAUCGGUGGCGGGGUCGUCAUCGUACAACUUGGUGACUUUGAAUAACUUUACGCUGAUCGCACGGUCAUCGCACCGGCGACGCAUCUUUCAAAUGUCUGCCUUAUCAACUGUCGAUGGUAGGUUCUGCGCCUACCAUGGUUGUAACGGGUAACGGGGAAUCAGGGUUCGAUUCCGGAGAGGGAGCCUGAGAAACGGCUACCACAUCCAAGGAAGGCAGCAGGCGCGCAAAUUACCCACUCCCGGCACGGGGAGGUAGUGACGAAAAAUAACGAUACGGGACUCAUCCGAGGCCCCGUAAUCGGAAUGAGUACACUCUAAACCCUUUAACGAGGAUCAAUUGGAGGGCAAGUCUGGUGCCAGCAGCCGCGGUA
rnacentral:rRNA from 1 species